CAGUAUGUGCUGAUGACCCUGAAUUCCGCCAUUAUACAGACAUCAAGGAGAUUCCCCCACACCGUCUGGCUGAAAUUCGCCGAUUCUUCGAAGACUGUAUCCUCCUAAAUGCUUAAUAUUCGAUUCCAAACACGGUUUAUGAAAACAUUUUGUCUGUUUUUCUUCAUUCUUAUACCACACAUUCUGCUUUUCCCUUGACAUCUCUUGAACUAAAAAGACAAGAAGAACGAAAACAAGAAAGUCGAUGUGGAAGACUUCCUGCCAGCAGAAGCUGCCAUUGAUGCCAUUAAGUACUCCAU
rnacentral:lncRNA from 1 species